rnacentral:ncRNA from 1 species
UACGUCUGCGGAUAAAAGAGAAGUCGGGUGAGAUUCCCGCACGAACGGGUCACUGUAAUCACGGAUUGUACCGCGGAAGAACCAUUGGGUCCUGAGGAUCUGAGAAGGCGUACGGUACGAGGCGAUGUGGAGUCAGGAAACCUGCCUGGAAAUGUA